CGAAAGAAAAGCCCCGCUCGGUAAAGCCCAAACCCUAAUCUCCUUUCUCCACUUAUUUAUACCCUUUGCCUUCAGCCGCAAAUUGUAUCUUCUCAAUUCUCAUAGAACCUUAGGUCAUAAAUUUCAAAAAGCAGACGGGCGGACUGAAAUGAUGCCAUGUUGAUUGUCUGCCACUUCCAUCUUUGGAAUGUCUCUGAGAUUCAAUUCUAAUGUUCAAAAAUUUAUUUUGAAAUGAUAAAUUCAAUUUUUCUAUAUUGUGAUGUUUUUAUUAAACAAUAAAUACUUCUGCUAUGAUGAUGUUGCAUCAAUAUGUCUGGACUUAUGAAAGUUUUUUCUGAUUAUCUAUGCUACUUCUGAGCAGUAUUAUCCUUUAUUUGUUUUUGUUAUUUUCAUAUGAAUAUAUGUUUAUAACUUUCUUUAUAGUUGUAUUAUUAUGUUGAUCUUUUCAUUUUUAGCUA